rfam:Volvox carteri f. nagariensis unplaced genomic scaffold VOLCAscaffold_6, whole genome shotgun sequence.
AUCUUUGCGCUUGGGGCAAUGUCGCAGCCUAUGAGAUCUAAUCGAGGCGCGACUAUUGCUGGUUGAAAACUUAUUCCUUCCCCGUCGGUCGUGUCCUUCGGGACCUUCCGCAAUAUUUGGCGUCCCCUUGGGG